UACGUAGGGGGCGAGCGUUGUCCGGAAUCAUUGGGCGUAAAGCGCGUGUAGGCGGCCCGGUAAGUCCGCUGUGAAAGUCCAGGGCUCAACCCUGGGAUGCCGGUGGAUACUGUCGGGCUCGAGUCCGGAAGAGGCGAGUGGAAUUCCUGGUGUAGCGGUGAAAUGCGCAGAUAUCAGGAGGAACACCGAUGGCGAAGGCAGCUCGCUGGGACGUGACUGACGCUGAGACGCGAAAGCGUGGGGAGCAAACAGG
rnacentral:rRNA from 1 species